GCGAUGAAACUCUAAGACCGG
rnacentral:snRNA from 1 species